rnacentral:rRNA from 1 species
CCUACGGGUGGCAGCAGUAGGGAAUAUUGCUCAAUGGGGGAAACCCUGAAGCAGCAAAGCAGCGUGGAGGAUGAAGGUUUUCGGAGUGUAAAACCCUUUUGUUAGAGAAGAUAAUGACGGUAUCUAACGAAUAAGCACCGUCUAACUCCGUGCCAGCAGCCGCGGUAAUACGGAGGGUGCAAGCGUUACUCGGAAUCACUGGGUGUAAAGUGCGCGUAGGCGGGAUAGCAAGUCAGAUGUGAAAUCCUAUGGCUUAACCAUAGAACUGCAUUUGAAACUGUUAUUCUAGAGUAUGGGAGAGGUAGGUGGAAUUCUUGGUGUAGGGGUAAAAUCCGUAGAGAUCAAGAGGAAUACUCAUUGCGAAGGCGACCUGCUAGAACAUAACUGACGCUGAUGCGCGAAAGCGUGGGUAUCAAACAGGAUUAGAUACCCUUGUAGUC